UACGGAGGGAGCUAGCGUUGUUCGGAAUUACUGGGCGUAAAGCGCGUGUAGGCGGCCCGGUAAGUCCGCUGUGAAAGUCCAGGGCUCAACCCUGGGAUGCCGGUGGAUACUGUCGGGCUCGAGUCCGGAAGAGGCGAGUGGAAUUCCUGGUGUAGCGGUGAAAUGCGCAGAUAUCAGGAGGAACACCAAUGGCGAAGGCAGCUCGCUGGGACGUGACUGACGCUGAGACGCGAAAGCGUGGGGAGCAAACAGG
rnacentral:rRNA from 1 species